UGUUUUUUUUAAUUUUUUUCGAUGUUUUUUUUUUUAUAUAUAUUUUCGGGCCGAAAAGAAAACAAGAAGGGAGAAAAGCGAGACACAGAGAGAGAGGAGGGCGACCAAAAGAAAAAACAGUGACGAGAGAAAAAUGAGUCAAGAAUAUUGAUUUUUUUUAUUGU
rnacentral:ribozyme from 1 species